UGGGGAAUUUUGGACAAUGGGCGCAAGCCUGAUCCAGCCAUGCCGCGUGAGUGAAGAAGGCCUUCGGGUUGUAAAGCUCUUUCAGCCGGAAAGAAAUCGCGCAGGAUAAUACUCUGCGUGGAUGACGGUACCGGAAGAAGAAGCACCGGCUAACUACGUGCCAGCAGCCGCGGUAAUACGUAGGGUGCGAGCGUUAAUCGGAAUUACUGGGCGUAAAGCGUGCGCAGGCGGUUUCGUAAGACAGAGGUGAAAUCCCCGGGCUCAACCUGGGAACUGCCUUUGUGACUGCGAAGCUAGAGUACGGCAGAGGGGGGUGGAAUUCCACGUGUAGCAGUGAAAUGCGUAGAGAUGUGGAGGAACACCGAUGGCGAAGACAGCCCCCUGGGCCGAUACUGACGCUCAUGCACGAAAGCGUGGGUAGCAAACA
rnacentral:rRNA from 1 species